UGUGUAGACCUUGUACAAUAGAGCUUAUAGGCUAAUGAGAAGACAGGAAGAAACAACAGGAACACAUAUAGCUGGAAUGCAGAUGGGAUCUGUGCUACUUACGCUAGCCAUGGGAUGAUUAGAACAAGAUAAGAGACAUGAGGAAGACUUCUUCAAGGAGGUGCUCAAGCCAUGUUUUGGAAAAGAGAACUCAAGGUCUGGCAGGGAGAAAGGAGCAAGGUCCCCAAGCAUGCUAACCAUGAAGCAGUGAUAUCGCACAGCACCUGCUUCCAGCAGCCCGGAGCCAAGGGGCAAAAUGGAAAGAGUCAGCAUUUCUCUUUUAGGUUCUCUGCCUCUCUAGUGUGUCCUCUUCUCCCUGAAGGCUGUCACAGUUCCUGUGCAGAGAGAGAGGGCACUGCAGCACCCAGGCGCUGACUGCCUUUUGUCAGUCUCAUUUGCAGGCCCCCAGCUGGAGAACCCAGGAGGAAGAGGAAAAAAGUUUUUUCCUCCUCUACACUCCCCAUGCAUGACUAAAGAGUAGGAGGAGUCAGCAAGGCAGACAUAUAUAGUACCCAGGAGGUGGACAAACAACUGCCUUGGUGGAAACUCUGUCCUUUCUGGACUUAUCCUGGUGCCACUGAGACUGUGCAGGUCCCACACUUACAGGGAAAGCAUCACCCGAAAGUGAGAAUGCCUAGAGGCAGGAAUCAUGGAGGCUUCCUUAACCGUCUGUCUGCAACAGCAGGUGCUAGAGAUGACACUGCAGAGUAGAGAACAAAGGAAUCUUAGUAAUUGUUCAAUCCAAUCUCCACACUUUAAAGAUGAAGAAACUGGUAUUGAGAAAAAUACACAGCUUAUCCAAGGUUGCACUGCUGGUUGGUAGCUGAGAUGAAUUUAGAACCCACAUCUGAUGACUACACCAUAUUGCUCCCAGUUUUCCUGUCUGUUCCACAUGUAAAAGUCUGACUCUUCACUUCUCCUUUGAGUAUAUAGACUUUUAACAUUUUUGUAUGUCAAGAUGGACUUUUCCUCAUACCCAGCCCCUGCCUUUUCUCCUCCCUUCAUACCUUGCAGGAUCUUUAACAGAAUUUAAAAGGAGUUUUUUGUUUUGUUUUGAUGUAUCUAAUAAAAGUCAAGGGAGGGAGAGGGCCAGUAUAAGCAAGAGUACAGUUUCCUAGUUUGUAGAUGCGGUAGUCUGAGGAAUCAGAAACACACAAAGGUUUGGAGAACUGGUACAUGCUCCCAGGUGGGAAGCCAGGACUCUUGGUAGGAUCUUGAGGACAAGGCAAAGGACAAUAAGAGAGCGAGGGGAUCCUAGAGGUGGAAUCAAGGAAGAGAAACUAGAGAGAGAAAAAGGAACUGGCUAUCCAUCCAUGAUGGAUCCUGUGUGGACUGAUGGGUGGCUUGGCAUCAUCCUUUAGUAGACUUCAUGUGGUUGAAUAAUUGGCCAAUGGAAGGAAUUUCUUUUUUGGUAACAGACUCUGUGUGUACAGUUAUGGGUCUUAAUUUAUAAUAAAAGGUUACAUUGAAAA
ensembl:lncRNA LINC02532 long intergenic non-protein coding RNA 2532